GAUGAACGCUGGCGGCGCGCCUAAUACAUGCAAGUCGAGCGAACGGACGAGAAGCUUGCUUCUCUGCUGUUAGCGGCGGACGGGUGAGUAACACGUGGAUAACCUACCUAUAAGACUGGGAUAACUUCGGGAAACCGUAGCUAAUACCGGAUAAUAUUUUGAACCGCAUGGUUCAAAAGUGAAAGACGGUCUUGCUGUCACUUAUAGAUGGAUCCGCGCUGCAUUAGCUAGUUGGUAAGGUAACGGCUUACCAAGGCAACGAUGCAUAGCCGACCUGAGAGGGUGAUCGGCCACACUGGAACUGAGACACGGUCCAGACUCCUACGGGAGGCAGCAGUAGGGAAUCUUCCGCAAUGGGCGAAAGCCUGACGGAGCAACGCCGCGUGAGUGAUGAAGGUCUUCGGAUCGUAAAACUCUGUUAUUAGGGAAGAACAUAUGUGUAAGUAACUGUGCACAUCUUGACGGUACCUAAUCAGAAAGCCACGGCUAACUACGUG
rnacentral:rRNA from 1 species